AGCGGUAGCACAGGGAGCUUGCUCCUGGGUGACGAGCGGCGGACGGGUGAGUAAUGUCUGGGAAACUGCCUGAUGGAGGGGGAUAACUACUGGAAACGGUAGCUAAUACCGCAUAACGUCGCAAGACCAAAGAGGGGGACCUUCGGGCCUCUUGCCAUCAGAUGUGCCCAGAUGGGAUUAGCUAGUAGGUGGGGUAAUGGCUCACCUAGACGACGAUCCCUAGCUGGUCUGAGAGGAUGACCAGCCACACUGGAACUGAGACACGGUCCAGACUCCUACGGGAGGCAGCAGUGGGGAAUAUUGCACAAUGGGCGCAAGCCUGAUGCAGCCAUGCCGCGUGUAUGAAGAAGGCCUUCGGGUUGUAAAGUACUUUCAGCGGGGAGGAAGGUGUUGAGGUUAAUAACCUCAGCAAUUGACGUUACCCGCAGAAGAAGCACCGGCUAACUCCGUGCCAGCAGCCGCGGUAAUACGGAGGGUGCAAGCGUUAAUCGGAAUUACUGGGCGUAAAGCGCACGCAGGCGGUCUGUCAAGUCGGAUGUGAAAUCCCCGGGCUCAACCUGGGAACUGCAUUCGAAACUGGCAGGCUAGAGUCUUGUAGAGGGGGGUAGAAUUCCAGGUGUAGCGGUGAAAUGCGUAGAGAUCUGGAGGAAUACCGGUGNCGAANGCGGCCCCCUGGACAAAGACUGACGCUCAGGUGCNNAAGCGUGGGGAGCAAACAGGANUAGAUACCCUGGUAGUCCACGCCGUAAACGAUGUCNACUUGGAGGUNNNNNCC
rnacentral:rRNA from 2 species